rnacentral:rRNA from 1 species
AAUAGAUCCCGGGUAGUCCACGCAGUAAACGAUGAUUACUAGCUGUUUGCGAUACACAGUAAGCGGCACAGCGAAAGCGUUAAGUAAUCCACCUGGGGAGUACGCCGGCAACGGUGAAACUCAAAGGAAUUGACGGGGGCCCGCACAAGCGGAGGAACAUGUGGUUUAAUUCGAUGAUACGCGAGGAACCUUACCCGGGUUUGAACGUAGGGAGACAGGAGUGGAAACAUUCUUUCAGCAAUGACUGCCUACGAGGUGCUGCAUGGUUGUCGUCAGCUCGUGCCGUGAGGUGUCGGCUUAAGUGCCAUAACGAGCGCAACCCUUAUUUCCAGUUACUAACAGGUGAUGCUGAGGACUCUGGAGAGACUGCCAGCGUAAGCUGUGAGGAAGGUGGGGAUGACGUCAAAUCAGCACGGCCCUUACAUCCGGGGGCGACACACGUGUUACAAUGGUAAGGCAAAGGGCAGCUACCGGGNACCGGAUGCGAAUCUCUAAAACCUUAUCUACAGUUCGGAUCGGAGU